AACAAACGCUGGCGGCGUGCCUAAUACAUGCAAGUCGAACGGGGAAAGCUUUCGGGUGAGUACUAGUGGCGCACGGGUGAGGAACGCGUGGAUAAUCUGCCUUAGAGUGGGGGAUAACUAGUCGAAAGAUUAGCUAAUACCGCAUAAGACCACAGGAGCUGCGGCACAAGGGGGCAAAGGUUUUUCGCUCUAAGAUGAGUCCGCGUAAGAUUAGCUAGUUGGUGAGGUAACGGCUCACCAAGGCGACGAUCUUUAACUGGUCUGAGAGGAUGAUCAGUCACACUGGAACUGAGACACGGUCCAGACUCCUACGGGAGGCAGCAGUAGGGAAUAUUGCACAAUGGAGGAAACUCUGAUGCAGCGACGCCGCGUGAGUGAUGAAGGCCUUCGGGUCGUAAAGCUCUGUCGCAGGGGAAUAACACAAUGAAGGUACCCUGUAAGAAAGGAUCGGCUAACUUCGUGCCAGCCGCCGCCGUAAGAC
rnacentral:rRNA from 1 species